CAGGAAAGAAAGGCGGGUCUUCAACAGCUCGGAGGGCCUAGGCUUCAGACACCACCUCUCGCCCAGGGAGGGUUGGGAAGCUGAGCAGUCAGGGCAACUGAGGAGGCAGCGCCUGGGAAGGGCGGCGGCAGCUGAGGUGGCUUUUAAAAGAGACUCAGAAGAGACUGACCAGCCCGAAGAGGCAAUGGCCAGCGACAACAUAGACUGUUCCUGCUUUCCAGAAAAACAAGAGUCCGUGAGCCAACUCCGACUUGGGCCCGCCGCCCUGCUGCCGGAUGAUUGCCUGCCGUUCGGGAAGUCGGGAGUUCGCCAACACGGCACCCAGCACCUUUGUCCCCCUCCUCGCUCUCCCGGGGCGCCGGGGAGAAAUGGGGCGGGGGAGGACUUCCAACUCGGUUUCCGAGGCUUCCCUCCACCACCUUCCAAACCCACUCUCUCGAAUCGGCGUUUUGUUCUAGCCAGCCACGUGUUGGUCGGGCUUUUUGUUUUUGUGACAUUUUUUCCCUCCCAGGAAGCAACAGGGAUUUAAAUAUUACGAGCUAUUCGUUGCUAUGUAGUGGGGAGAAAAAAAAAUUGUUUUCUGUCCGCGAAGGUGGGAGACGUCCGCGCCUCGGUCCCCCCACACGCCUUCCCCGGCAUCCCCCAGCCCCCACUGACAUCGCAUUUUGUCAGCUCUUGAUCACAGCGUGAUUUUUUUAACAAACUGAGGCAGUGAGCUGGAAACGGAGACUGCCGCAUAGUAGGCACUCAGAGCAAACGGUUCCGAAUGAAAAAGCAAACUACAGAGUAAAGAGGGUUCGAGAAAAUUAAAAGUCCAGUGGGGAGGGAGGGAUUCACUUGGCUCGAAUGUGUGAUCUGUUGCCUGGGCACUUUCCUUAGUGAUGUGUGUGGAUUUUUGAAAAGGGCUGAGAGAUGGCCUCAGGAGCUGUCUGUAACAGCCUUUGGGUCUUCAUAAUAGUAACCCUGUCUCCAAAUCUUUUGUUAUCUUGGGGGACAAGGAAGAAUGUACCUCGGCACGACAUCCCAGCUCCAAAAAAAAAAAUUUAGGUGCGAUUUGCUUCAUUUACUUUAAAUCUUCUGGGUUGAUCAAAACACUUCUCAGAUAAUCCCCCCUGGGUAACCUAACCACUACUCGCUUUCUUCCUAAAACAAAAGCAACUUAACCCUCAAAAACACCACCCAGACUUACAAGCUUCUGCAAAAUGCAGCCCAUC